GAAAUGCGAUACGUAGUGUGAAUUGCAGAAUUCCGUGAAUCAUCGAAUCUUUGAACGCAUAUUGCGCCCACGGCCUCGGCUAAGGGCAUGCCUGUCUCAGCGUCCGCUCACCCCCUCGCCCACCCUUUCAUUUUGAAAGCGGUUUGGACGGAUGUGGCCGUCUCGCUCACCUUUCGGAAGAGCGGGUCGGCUGAAGCGCAGGGCUCGCGGCGGGACCCCAUUCGAUCGGGGCGCCAGCAUGGUAGGUGGCUCACGCUCACAUAUCGGCUGUCGUCUCCCAUAUCACCGGGCGCUCCGCCUGUUGCCACAGCAGGAAAACCAAUCAAAACCUUGGACCUGAGAUCAGACAAGACCACCCGCUGAACUUAA
rnacentral:misc_RNA from 1 species